rnacentral:rRNA from 1 species
GAUGAACGCUAGCUAUAGGCUUAACACAUGCAAGUCGAGGGACCGGCGCACGGGUGAGUAACGCGUAUCCAACCUGCCCAUAACUAAGGGAUAACCCAGCGAAAGUUGGACUACUACCUUAUGGUUAUGGAUGGGGAUGCGUUUGAUUAGCUUGUUGGCGGGGUAACGGCCCACCAAGGCAACUGACAGUAGGGGUUCUGAGAGGAAGGUCCACCACAUCUGAGCUGCGACCCGGUCCAAAAGCCUACGGGGGGCAGCAGUGAGGAAUAUUGGGGAAGGGAGGCAAGUCUGAACCAGCCAAGUAGCGUGCAGGAUGACGGCCUAUGGGUUGUAAACUGCUUUGGUAUGGGGAUAGGUACCAUAUGAAUAAGGACCGGCUAAUUCCGUGCCAGCAGCCGCGGUAAUUC